CGACUAAGCAAGGGAUCGAACCUUGAAUCCUAGGUCUAGGAGAACGACGCCUUAUCCAAUCAGACACAGGGCC